rnacentral:rRNA from 1 species
GACGUAGGGGGCGAGCGUUAUCCGGAUUCACUGGGCGUAAAGGGCGCGCAGGCGGUUACGUAAGUCCGGCGUGAAAUCCCACGGCUCAACUGUGGAACUGCGUCGGAUACUGCGUUGACUUGAGGAUGGUAGAGGCCAUUAGAACUAGCGGUGUAGCGGUGAAAUGCGCAGAUAUCGCUAGGAAUGCCGGUGGCGAAGGCGGAUGGCUGGGCCACUCCUGACGCUGAGGCGCGAAAGCUAGGGGAGCGAACCGGAUUAGAAACCCCCGUAGUCC